rnacentral:rRNA from 1 species
UACGUAGGGGGCAAGCGUUGUCCGGAAUUACUGGGCGUAAAGGGUGCGCAGGCGGUUAUAUAAGACAGAUGUGAAAUCCCCGGGCUCAACCUGGGAACUGCGUUUGUGACUGUAUGACUAGAGUACGGUAGAGAGGGGUGGAAUUCCUGGUGUAGCAGUGAAAUGCGUAGAUAUCAGGAGGAACAUCGAUGGCGAAGGCAGCCCCUUGGACCUGUACUGACGCUCAUGCACGAAAAGCGUGGGGGAGCAAACAGG